UGGGGGAUAUUGCACAAUGGGCGAAAGCCUGAUGCAGCGACGCCGCGUGGGGGAUGAAGGCUUUCGGGUUGUAAACCUCUUUCGCUAUCGAACAAGGCCCGCUUAGGGUGGGUUGAGGGUAGGUGGAGAAGAAGCGCCGGCUAACUACGUGCCAGCAGCCGCGGUAAUACGCAGGGCGCGAGCGUUGUCCGGAAUUAUUGGGCGUAAAGGGCUUGUAGGCGGCUUGUUGCGCCUGCUGUGAAAACGCGGGGCUUAACUUCGCGCGUGCAGUGGGUGCGGGCAGGCUUGAGUGUGGUAGGGGUGACUGGAAUUCCAGGUGUAGCGGUGGAAUGCGCAGAUAUCUGGAGGAGCACCGAUGGCGAAGGCAGGUCACUGGGCCAUUACUGACGCUGAGGAGCGAAAGCAUGAGUAGCGAACAGG
rnacentral:rRNA from 1 species